rnacentral:sRNA from 1 species
CUAAAUCGCUGAAUUCAUUAUUGAAUCGGGGGAACCACCUGUUAUUAUCUAAAACUGGGGUGAAUCCUUUCAAAGGGUAGGGUGACUCUGACCAUCCGAAUCCGACAGCUAACCCCGUAAGCGUUGUUGGAG